CUCGCCCGGCUCCGUGGCCGCGCCCGGCAGACUCACGGCGCGUGGCAGGGCUGCUGGGCCAUGGCCUCAGGCUUCCGAGAGCCCGGGGUUGAAGGAUCCGGAAUGAAGGGAGCUUCCCUUCUGCUCUCAACACCUGAGGAAACUGGUGGAAAGUUUGAGAAAGAGAAGUCCAAUCAUCUUUCCGCUUCCGCCCUCCCUAUGACACUCCGGCCACGAGAAGGAGCAGGAAAGGUCCACGUCUCCGAAGGACCACCGCAAGCCACGCCAAUCCUGUCUCCUUGCAUCUGCCCUGACUUCUGAGCAUCUGAGAACUUUGCUCUUUUUACAGACCUCCCUGGGUUGUUCAGACCACACAGGCCUGGCUGCCUACUCUGACCCUCCAGAUGCAGCGCCAGUCAGCCAGCCCUCCCAAGGUCCACACCAAGUCUUCCCCUCUCCCUCCGCAUGCUGUCUACGCAGACCCUAACUGGAACCCUAUGGGGAAACUUGGACUGGAGACCUGUGGCUAUCCGGUGUGGGGUUUUUCAUCUCGCCAGAGUGCUUCUUUUCGGUACCAGUCUUUCCUGAAUUUCUGAGGCUGCACCAUGCACCUUCUGUACAAAGGAGCCCAGGAGGAAAAAUUCCUGAGUCCAUGGCCAGUGAACAGAUGAACGUCUACAAUGUUGUGCAGAGGCUCUUGAAGCAAGGUUGACAAAGACAAACACAGGUACCGUGUGGAACACAAGUUCAGUGUGGAAGACUGACAGAUCAUCAAAGUUGAAGAAACCUUUGGAGAUGGCUGCCAACAGAUCUAGGACAUUCGUCUGGGUACUUUAUGAGAAUGUCAAAUAAAUUCUGUUACUACCAUGCACAUUGGGAAGUGUUUUAACACCUACUCUUCCCUUAACACAGCACUUGUCUCAGCCUCUGAGGGAGUUUGAGGCAGACCCAGGCCCUUGCAGGUUUACAGCAGACCAAUUAACACAACACCAUUGACCUUGCCGAAUAGGGAGGAGAGAGAUUUUUGUCUCCUUAUCUUUGCCAAAGAGAACAAUCUGACUGAAAAAGAAAAGAGAACCUAGGUAAGGGAAAAUUGAAGUUUGAGAUGAGUAGAGAUAUUCUAACAGCCCCAAGCUGCUGUAAUUGAGCUCAAGCCUCUUGGGCAGGACAAAUUACACUCCAGGGAGUAGAGAGAACUCACCGCUGAAGAUGGAGUAUAGAUCUUCCACUGGUAACAUUUAAGGACUGUAGAGACUGAGGGAAACUGGGAUGCUGGAGGUGGCAACAAAGCCCUGCUUUUUAAAGAUGGGGAAAGAGCUUGUAACUAUAGACGCAAGUUUCUCCUCUCCAUCCUCAUUAAAUUCCCUGAUCAGAUCAUUGAGGAUGAGUCAUGAGCAAAUGGAAAAAAAAAUUGGAGCAGAACUCUCUAGAAGCCAAAAGCAAAACCCCAACAAAGUAGUUGUUUUCCCAGUUAUGUGGUAGGCUCGUGUACUGGUUAGUUUUUUUUUUUGUUGUUGUUGUUGUUAAUAUGACACAAGCUAGGGACAUCUGGGAAGAGGGAACCUCAGCUGAGAAAAUGUCUCAUUGUGGGUAAAUGUUGAUUAAUGGCUGAUGUGGGAGGUUUCAGAAAACUAUAGGCAAUGACACCCCUGGGCAAGUCAAGAUUGUUUAUCUAUAUAUUAAAAAAAAAUCAGGCUGAGCAAGCCACAGGGAGCA